GAAAGCUCAAAUCCCACUGGUGCCUUUAUUUGUGUGUGAGUAGCAGGUUACGGUUAAUAUGUUAAAGGUGCGGAUGAGGCACUUGUUUAACUCCAACGCCACAGUAGCUGCAGCUCAGCCUCUGAAAGGUUAUUAGCCGCAGGAAGGAUGAUUAUGAAAACGUGUUAUUGUAGGGCAGGAAGGCCCUCAGGUGCUGUGAGUCAGCAGCAGGCCUGAUGCUGCCGCUCUGGGCCCACAGCUGCGUGUGUCCAUCACCGUUAAUGUGUCGGCGUGCUUUAAACACGUUGGACUUCACUUCCUGAACUUGCGCUUGUGUGUGUCGGCCCGUGCAUGACUGCAUACAUCUGGUGAUUUGCAUAAGCCGGGCUUGUGCAUGUGAAUCGUGUGCUGCAGGAAUGUGUCUGGGCUCCGAUUCGGGCUUGGAGCCGUUUCAAAGAGCGAGCCUGGCUGAUUAGCUGCCGCUCUGCUGACAUCAUCGCGAGCUCAGCUCAGCGGAGCAACGGGGGACGCCAGGAUUUGUCUGUGACUCACAUUCAGUCGACAAUCUGUAAUGCGGCAGUUUACAGCACACAGUCAACAAACACCGGGCUUAUAAUAUGUGGCACAAAGAGGGAACACAUGGAGGAGGCUGCGGAGGGUCUGCGCGUCCAUCUGCGCAAUGAACUUUCAGCUGGGAAUGCGCAGGAGAACGCAGGGCUCUCAUUGGUUGGGAUUAACUUCUGGGGGAGGGGCCAGAAACAGUCAUUUCAGAAGGUUUAAAGGAUGAUGCUGGCAUUAUUUGACACUCUGCUGCUGCUGUCAUGAAUCCUGUGGCCAGCAGCUCCUUUGUGCGUCCCAGUCGGUGGAAGUCAAGCAGGGGCCACUGCUCCUCACGGCAGAUGUGUCCGAAUGUGGGUCGCACAAACAUCAGACGUGCUGCAGCCGAGAAAAGCCUUGUGUCAGAAGAGUACGAACAGAGAAAGUGAAGACUGGCAAACAGGAUUCAGUUGGUUUGAAAAAUCUUGAAUGUUCAGAUUGGUGAUAAUGACGUGUGAUGGUAAAAUCAGCAAUUACUGGCUGGUUGAGGAGCUCUCAGGCGUAUGUGUGGGGCCACAAUUCACAGUUUGCAGUGUUCAAUGACAACAGCUGUUAGUAAAUGAGCAUCAGCUUAGACCUGGAGAUCAGCUGUUUUCUACUUAGCUAGCUGUAGCUGUAGCUAGCUGUAGCUAGCUAAUCUGGGUCAACGGGUGCAGUAAAUUAGCCAGGGUGGAGUACCUUUCACCCAACACGGCCUUUGGUGACUCCCAUCUCAACUUCUCCAUCUUAUUCUGACUGUUUCCAAAUACAAAAGCGGCUCUGUGUCUGAGACGUCUUUGUAGAAUCACAACUCCGCUCAGUAAACCACGUCGUCCUUAUGAAACUAUUUUUAGCUCCGUGCUGUUCUCCUGUUUCUGUUUGUACUCCCCACCGUACGCGCGGCACCAUCUGUUUGAAUGGUAUCAGGCGUCCCGUCGUCCAAGCACUGGGGAAUCUGCUCGGAUGUCUCUGGAAACAGACCGAACCUCACGCACGGCUUCUACGCAGUCAUUAAUCUGGGAGACAAACCUGCGCAGUGUGCACUUUUGUCCUCGUCCUUGGUCUUCUGGCCUGCGCGGUCGUCUGGAGGCCGCCGGCCCGUCGUCGGCUGCUGCCUGAUAAUGAGCCUGUGGCACCGAGCUGCUGUCAGUCUGGCAGACAGACAGGCCCUCGCCCUGGUCACCGCCGCCUCACGCCAUCUGGGUCCCUGCACCGGGAGGAGAGGAGAGGACAGGGAGACGCCGGGGGGAGGACACGGGUAAAAGGUCCGGUGAGAGAUGUGGAGAGGGCCUUUGUGCGCCCAGAAGGGCCCACCCUGGAGAACAGGGCUUCUCCAGAGGAGUGCUUCACAUGGGUGGGCUGCCGAGAGGUGAUGGAUCCCCUAUUCACAGAAACCCCUGGAAGAAAGCUCACAAUCAAUAUCCUGCUGUCUGCCUCCAGUGCCCGUAAAUGAAAACAUGGCCGUGUAAAGACAUGAAUAAAUAAAGCAGGGACCCGUUUUUUUGGGGUUUUUUUUAAACACGGGGCAGGGUUGCACAAAGCUGAGCAGCUGCAGCUCUGCGUUUAUAAAGAGCAUAAUAGUCUCUCCAUCUCUCAGUGGGACGCCUGCUGCGGCUAACAAUUUGUUCACGGGGCUGGAAAGCGAGCGGAUUGUAUUUAGCAACGCGUGGGUCGGGAUUUGUACAAAUGUUUCAAUUAAGUCCGUCAGAAACGGACGCCGUCGUUUGACAGGUGCGUCCGAGGCGUCGAGGUCGGCCGCUAAACGUGUAACCGGCUCCUCACAUCGCUGUCACCGCACGGGAAAUUGUAGCCUGGACGAUGGUGCAGGAUGGGGUGGGGGGUACGCGCCCAUCAACAUGGAUGAGUGACAGCGGAUGAGAGAAGCUCCUCCAGCACAAAUGAAUUCAUAGCUCCUCAAUAGAAGCGUCACUGGAGAGCGAGCGGAGCGACGGCUGCCCGGGCUUUUUGCGCACGCGCGGCGUUCUGUGUUUUACUCGUCCUUAAGUGCUGCAUAAUGAUGCUAAUGCCGUAUGUCUACGCGGUUGUGAGACUAUGCUAAUCAUAUAAAUGAGAUAUCCCUCGUGGCAAAGGGAGUGUGGCAAUCACCGGGUUCACACGCUGAUUGCUGACAAAGACCCUCCGAACACCAGUGCGUUCUUUGGUUUCUGUCACCUCCGCUGUGAGUCCCAGUCCAGCGCCCAAAG